rnacentral:rRNA from 1 species
GNACAAUGGGCGAAAGCCUGAUGGAGCCAUGCCGCGUGAGCGAAGAAGGCCUUCGGGUUGUAAAGCUCUGUUGUCAGGGAAGAAAUAGGCCUGGAUAANACNNGGGCUGNAUGACGGUACCUGAANAANAAGCCCCGGCUAACUACGUGCCAGCAGCCGCGGUAAUAA